CUUGCAGCAGCUGCGUCCAAAGGGUAUUUUUCCAGUCAUGGUGUGCUUGUAUUUAAACAUGCCCGAAGCAGUGGAAGUGAAGAAAAUGACACUACUCGUGCAACUUUCCCACAGCACUGACAGGGAUGACUGAGUUUGCUGCCAAACAAGUGCGCUGAUGCUGCCUACCUACCCCAGCCAAGGGCUGAGGCCCGAGCCUGUACUCUGCUCUAACCACACGAUGGAGCUCUGGCAUUUACAUUACAAGCAUUAACACCAGUUCCUUGCCCCUUAACUUCAUCAUCUGCACUGGAGCUACACUUCAACUUGCACCGUCUCUUGUUACAGAAAUAAUGUAAAUAUCCAGAAACCACAGCUUGAAAGAAAUCUGAAGUCACUGCUAACCGCUCAUGCACAGAAUGAAGCCUAUCUGCAGAAAAGUAAAGUAUGUGAUCAUAAUUAAUAUCUCUUGAACACGAACAAAGAACAAACACAAUGCAAAUUGUAGCAUCUUCUGUAUGUACUCAAAUUUUUACAUCAGAAAUAAGCCAUCUAUAUCUAAGCGAUCAUAAUUCUUCAGUUCUGGAAUUAGACUAUAUAAAUGAACGGUUCAUAUUCCUAAUUUAAUUCUUUCUACGCUAGUCAAAAAUAAGUACUGUUAACACAUUUCAGUUACUUAAACAAAUUGCCUCUUGCUGUAUGCAUACACAGCACCACUU